rnacentral:rRNA from 1 species
GCGGAUGGAGCUGAAGCCAGUCGCAGAUACCAGCUGGCUGCAACUGUUUAUUAAAAACACAGCACUGUGCAAACACGAAAGUGGACGUAUACGGUGUGACGCCUGCCCGGUGCUGGAAGGUUAAUUGAUGGGGUUAUCCGUAAGGAGAAGCUCUUGAUCGAAGCCCCAGUAAACGGCGGCCGUAACUAUAACGGUCCUAAGGUAGCGAAAUUCCUUGUCGGGUAAGUUCCGACCUGCACGAAUGGCGUAAUGAUGGCCAGGCUGUCUCCACCCGAGACUCAGUGAAAUUGAACUCGCUGUGAAGAUGCAGUGUACCCGCGGCAAGACGGAAAGACCCCGUGAACCUUUACUAUAGCUUGACACUGAACAUUGAGCCUUGAUGUGUAGGAUAGGUGGGAGGCUUUGAAGUGUGGACGCCAGUCUGCAUGGAGCCAACCUUGAAAUACCACCCUUUAAUGUUUGAUGUUCUAACGUAGCCCCGUUAUCCGGGGUGCGGACAGUGUCUGGUGGGUAGUUUGACUGGGGCGGUCUCCUCCCAAAGAGUAACGGAGGAGCACGAAGGUUGGCUAAGCAUGGUCGGACAUCAUGCGGUUAGUGCAAAGGCAUAAGCCAGCUUGACUGCGAGAGUGACGGCUCGAGCAGGUACGAAAGUAGGUCUUAGUGAUCCGGUGGUUCUGAAUGGAAGGGCCAUCGCUCAACGGAUAAAAGGUACUCCGGGGAUAACAGGCUGAUACCGCCCAAGAGUUCAUAUCGACGGCGGUGUUUGGCACCUCGAUGUCGGCUCAUCACAUCCUGGGGCUGAAGUAGGUCCCAAGGGUACGGCUGUUCGCCGUUUAAAGUGGUACGCGAGCUGGGUUUAGAACGUCGUGAGACAGUUCGGUCCCUAUC